rnacentral:tRNA from 1 species
GGAGAGAUGGCAGAGUGGACGAUUGCGCCGGUCUUGAAAACCGGAGUGCUGGUAACGGUACCGGGGGUUCGAAUCCCUCUCUCUCCGCCA